UCAGGAUCAGAGGGAACGGUGGCUCCCCCACACUGACCAUACAUGCCCUGGCCUCUUACCCUGCAGAUUUCCUACCAGCUAAAGAGGGUGAAGACUAAGCGCUGGUGAUCUCUAGGAAACUCUACUGGAGUGUCAGGAUAAGAAAACAGAUGCAAUGAAAGGAAGUGACUUCCUCAUCGUUAACUUCUACUCCAGCCUCUAGCCUCAUUUCGGGGCAGAAGCCUCCAGUCAGGGUUAAUACAUACAGAUGGGAACGAAAAGUGGAACAAUUUAUCACUGUCACUGAUUCCAUAUCCUUGCUGCAUUGAGUCUGAUGUUCAAGAGCCCUCACCAAACAAACAGCCCUACAUCAAAUCACGAAUCGUGCAGGACCAAGACGGAUGUCCUGGUGUGAAUAGCACUUAACAUAAGAUUUGGGUCUUUCGGAUGCUGCCUUUAGCAUUGAGCCCCCACUCAGUGUGGACAGAAAUAACAAGCCCUUUCCCACAGAUGGGAAAUCAAGGGAAGACACCUUCAUGUCCUCGCUUCCAGCCAGGGAGAUCCAGGCAUGUUCAAGAAAAAAGGGAAGGAGCCAGUUAAAUGGCAGGUGAGUCACACUGAAGAUUUAAAGACUCACUGAGCCCAGUCAGUCUAGGAUGCCAGA
rnacentral:lncRNA from 1 species